rnacentral:rRNA from 1 species
CAGCAGCCGCGGGAAUACGUAGGUGGCAAGCGUUGUCCGGAAUUAUUGGGCGUAAAGGGCUCGCAGGCGGUUUCUUAAGUCUGAUGUGAAAGCCCCCGGCUCAACCGGGGAGGGUCAUUGGAAACUGAGAAACUUGAGUGCAGAAGAGGAGAGUGGAAUUCCACGUGUAGCGGUGAAAUGCGUAGAGAUGUGGAGGAACACCAGUGGCGAAGGCGACUCUCUGGUCUGUAACUGACGCUGAGGAGCGAAAGCGUGGGGAGCGAACAGGAUUAGAUACCCGCGUAGUCCCUGUCUCUUAUAC